rfam:Penicillium camemberti str. FM013
UUCUCUUUGCCUUCUGGCUUAGAUCAGGUGUAGUAACUGUUCUUAUCAGCUUAAUCGCUGAUAGUCCUGCCCUACAGGACGCUUCGAUUAAUCUAAUUUUUCACCCUCGCGACUUGGCCUCUAUGCUUGCAUAUGUCUCGUUGCACUGUGUCACUGGGCUUACACUGCCCCCAGUCGAUGCGACUCCUC